GGACGUCGACUUUGCAAGACCGCCUUUUAAGGUUGUCUGAACCUUAAAGGUUAAACUUUUCAGACUAUAUUGUUUCGUAUCCAUCUCAAAGGAGACUUUGCAAUUAAUUUUAAAUUUUGAGAUAAGUAUGUAGAAGCCUGGGGUGAUCGUUUUCGGACGCGGGUUCAACUCCCGCCGCCUCCACCA
rnacentral:tmRNA from 1 species